rnacentral:rRNA from 1 species
CCUACGGGUGGCAGCAGUAGGGAAUAUUGCUCAAUGGGGGAAACCCUGAAGCAGCAACGCCGCGUGGAGGAUGAAGGUUUUCGGAUUGUAAACUCCUUUUGUUAGAGAAGAUAAUGACGGUAUCUAACGAAUAAGCACCGGCUAACUCCGUGCCAGCAGCCGCGGUAAUCCGGAGGGUGCAAGCGUUACUCGGAAUCACUGGGCGUAAAGAGCGCGUAGGCGGGUUAGCAAGUCAGAUGUGAAAUCCUAUGGCUUAACCAUAGAAGUGCAUUUGAAACUGUUAGUCUAGAGUAGGGGAGGGGUAGGGGGAAUGCUUGGUGUAGGGGUAAAAUCCGUAGAGAUCAAGAGGAAUACUCAUUGCGAAGGCAGCCUACUAGAACAUAACUGACGCUGAUGUGCGAAAGCGUGGGGAUCAAACAGGAUUAGAGACCCUGGUAGUC